rnacentral:rRNA from 1 species
UGGGGAAUAUUGCACAAUGGGGGAAACCCUGAUGCAGCAACGCCGCGUGAGUGAUGAAGGUUUUCGGAUCGUAAAGCUCUGUCUUUGGGGAAGAUAAUGACGGUACCCAAGGAGGAAGCCACGGCUCACUACGUGCCAGCAGCCGCGGUAAUACGUAGGUGGCGAGCGUUAUCCGGAUUUACUGGGCGUAAAGGGAGCGUAGGCGGAUGAUUAAGUGUGAUGUGAAAUACCCGGGCUCAACUUGGGUGCGGCAUUCCAAACGGGUUAUCUAGAGUGCAGGAGAGGAGAGUGGAAUUCCUAGUGUAGCGGUGAAAUGCCUAGAGAUUAGGAAGAACACCAGUGGCGAAGGCGACUCUCUGGACUGUAACUGACGCUGAGGCUCGAAAGCGUGGGGAGCAAACA